rnacentral:rRNA from 1 species
GGCCUUCUGGGUUGUAAAGCACUUUUGGCAGGAAAGAAACGUCAUGGGCUAAUACCCCGUGAAACUGACGGUACCUGCAGAAUAAGCACCGGCUAACUACGUGCCAGCAGCCGCGGUAAUACGUAGGGUGCAAGCGUUAAUCGGAAUUACUGGGCGUAAAGCGUGCGCAGGCGGUUCGGAAAGAAAGAUGUGAAAUCCCAGAGCUUAACUUUGGAACUGCAUUAUUUAACUACCGAGCUAGAGUGUGUCAGAGGGAGGUGGAAUUCCGCGUGUAGCAGUGAAAUGCGUAGAUAUGCGGAGGAACACCGAUGGCGAAGGCAGCCUCCUGGGAUAACACUGACGCUCAUGCACGAAAGCGUGGGAGCAAACAGGAUUAGAUACCCUGGUAGUCCACGCCCUAAACGAUGUCAACUAGCUGUUGGGCCUUCGGGCCUUGUUAGCGCAGCUAACGCGUGAAGUUGACCGCCUGGGGAGUACGGUCGCAAGAUUAAAACUCAAAGGAUUUGACGGGGACCCGCACAAGCGGUGGAUGAUGUGGAUUAUUCGAUGCAACGCGAAAACCUUACCUACCCUUGACAUGUCUGGAAUUCCGAAGAGAUUUGGAAGUGCUCGCAAGAGAACCGGAACACAAGGUGCUGCAUGGCUGUCGUCAGCUCGUGUCGUGAGAUGUUGGGUUAAGUCCCGCAACGAGC